rnacentral:rRNA from 1 species
AUGGAUGUUAAGACGGCUUUUCUGAAUGGAGAGCUAAACGAGGAAAUCUACAUGCAACAGCCAGAUGGCUUUGUGAUAGAUGGUCAGGAAAGAAAGGUGUGUAGGUUGCUGAAAUCUUUAUAUGGCCUGAAGCAAGCACCUAAGCAAUGGCAUGAUAAGUUUAAUACAACUCUGACAUCUGUUGGUUUCGUUGUUAAUGAGGCUGACAAAUGUGUAUACUAUCGCCAUGGUGGGGGCGAAGGAGUUAUACUGUGCUUGUAUGUUGAUGACAUACUGAUAUUCGGAACCAACCUCAAAGUCAUUGAGGAGGUCAAGUCGUUAUUGUCUCAGAGCUUUGAGAUGAAAGACCUUGGUGUGGCUGAUGUUAUCUUGAACAUCAAGCUACUGAGAGAUAAUGAGGGUGGGAUUACACUUCUGCAAUCCCACUAUGUUGAGAAGGUGUUGAGUCGUUUUGGAUAUUCGGAUUGCACACCAUCUCAAACACCAUAUGAUCCUAGCGUGUUGAUUCGAAAGUCCAAAGGCACGGCUAUAGAUCAGUUGAGAUACUCUCAAAUCAUUGGUUCACUGAUGUACCUAGCGAGCGCAACGAGGCCCGACAUCGCGUUUGCUGUGAGCAAACUGAGCCGGUUUGUUUCCAAACCGGGUGAUGUACAUUGGCAUGCUGUUGAACGAGUUAUGCGCUAUCUGAAAGGUACUAGAACUAUGGACUUCACUAUACCGGAGACCCGUCGGUACUUGAAGGGUAUAGUGAUGAAAAUUGGAUCUUUGAUGCUGAUGAGAUGA